ACUCCUACGGGAGGCAGCAGUGGGGAAUAUUGCACAAUGGGGGAAACCCUGAUGCAGCAACGCCGCGUGAGUGAUGACGGUCUUCGGAUUGUAAAACUCUGUCUUCUGGGACGAUAAUGACGGUACCUGAGGAGGAAGCCACGGCUAACUACGUGCCAGCAGCCGCGGUAAU
rnacentral:rRNA from 1 species